rnacentral:rRNA from 1 species
UACGGGGGGGGCAAGCGUUGUUCGGAAUUACUGGGCGUAAAGGGCUCGUAGGCGGCCAACUAAGUCGGACGUGAAAUCCCCAGGCUCAACCUGGGAACUGCGUCCGAUACUGGAUGGCUUGAAUCCGGGAGAGGGAUGCAGAAUUCCAGGUGUAGCGGUGAAAUGCGUAGAUAUCUGGAGGAACACCGGUGGCGGAGGCGGCGUUCUGGACUGUCUCUGACACUGAAGAACGAAAGCCAGGGGAGCAAACGGG